UACGUAGGGUGCAAGCGUUGUCCGGAAUUAUUGGGCGUAAAGAGCUCGUAGGCGGUCUGUCGCGUCGGCUGUGAAAACCUGGGGCUCAACUCCGGGCCUGCAGCCGAUACGGGCAGACUAGAAUUCGGUAGGGGAGACUGGAAUUCCUGGUGUAGCGGUGAAAUGCGCAGAUAUCAGGAGGAACACCGGUGGCGAAGGCGGGUCUCUGGGCCGACAUUGACGCUGAGGAGCGAAAGCGUGGGGAGCGAACAGG
rnacentral:rRNA from 1 species